AAUACAUCCAGCAGGGUCUCCUGUCGCCUUCUGCGUCGCCCUAUCAGCUGGAUCUGAUCGGUGUUGCAGAAGUCGUGCACAUGCUGCUGUUCAAUCGCCCGAUGAACGUGAAGCAGGAAAACUCGGCCUGGCGUUUAGAUGAAGGAUCUGGAUCUGAGCACAGCGUUCCCGUCGAGUCUUUAUGGAAAGACUUCUUCCACAUGAUUUUGAAUCCAGGACUAAAGUCUUCAGAGCUGGUUUUGUCUGAGCUCAUCAGUAUUGUGAGGAACAGCUUAUGGAGAUAUUGUCAUGUGUAAAAUAAUAACAGCAGCAGUGCAUAUGAAUGGUUGGAUUUAAAAUUUAUGUUUUACAUUGCUUUUUAUACACAUUUAAUAAACAA